GUCGGGGACUUAUUAGAAUUUACUUUAAUAUUUCCGAUAGGACUUUAUAGUACUUCAGGCUUUUAUUUGUUUUUAUUUUUCUGUUCUAAUUUUUUUUUAGUGUGGUUUUGUAGGGUGCGCAUGAACACUAGAUCUCACGGAAAUCCUCUUUUUGAGUUUGACCCUGAAAUCGACAAGACUUUGCGCAAUAUUAAGAAGCAGCAGAAUCAAGUUGAGCAAGAUACGAUGGCUACUCCUGAGGAAAUCCAAAUUCAAAUGCGAGCUCUUCAAGAGCAAUUGAAGAAGCUGACUGAUGAACAUGAGACGAGAGAAGCUCAGAAACA
rnacentral:lncRNA from 1 species